CUUUCCCUCUUUCUUCAUGCUUUACACAUGCAAGUCGAACGGCAGCGCGGGCUUCGGCCUGGCGGCGAGUGGCGAACGGGUGAGUAAUACAUCGGAACGUGCCCAGUAGUGGGGGAUAGCUCGGCGAAAGCCGGAUUAAUACCGCAUACGACCUGAGGGUGAAAGCGGGGGAUCUUCGGACCUCGCGCUAUUGGAGCGGCCGAUGGCAGAUUAGCUAGUUGGUGGGGUAAAGGCCUACCAAGGCGACGAUCUGUAGCUGGUCUGAGAGGACGACCAGCCACACUGGGACUGAGACACGGCCCAGACUCCUACGGGAGGCAGCAGUGGGGAAUUUUGGACAAUGGGCGAAAGCCUGAUCCAGCAAUGCCGCGUGUGUGAUGAAGGCCUUCGGGUUGUAAAGCACUUUUGGCGGGAACGAAAAGGACUGUGCAAAUACCACGGUUCGAUGACGGUACCCGCAGAAUAAGCACCGGCUAACUACGUG
rnacentral:rRNA from 1 species